GUGAGUUGGGAGGGAACCAGCACUCCAAGACUGCAGAGAAGAGGUCUGUGAGAUCUUCCCAGGAGCCUCCUUGUUUGAGUCACCCCACACCAACCCCUCAUCUCUCAGUAUUCCUGAUGCUCCAGGGGCCAUUCCCAAGUGGACAGCUCCUGCAGCUUCCUUAGCUGUCCUUGGAGGCCCACCAACCCCGCCAACAUCUCAGUGUGUCAGAGGCCUCCACAAACCCAACUCUGAAGUUUUCACACCCCUUUCAGCAACUGGCGACCAAUAUCCUGCUUCCCGCCUUCACUGUCCUGGGAGAAGGCUGCUACAGUUACCUCCAAGUAAGAAGAGGGUGGAGGGAAAAGAAACUGAGGCACCUGGGAGGGAGCUUCCAGCCUACCAGCCUCUUACCGCAAUCCCACCAACCCAUUCCCAUCUGGGUAUGGUCAGGGAGACCUUGUUGUGGUUUCCUUUUAAACUCUGCAAGCUGAAACCAUUCCUUCAUUUCCUGGUGCAAAGCCCAAAACUGGAAAUUUUAGUGGGAAGGGUUAUAGAUUGGGGGGAAGAGAUUGGAGAAGGACAAAAGAAUUGGGGAGAGGGGGCGGCACAGGGUAAGGAAAAAUAGGAAAAGGGAGAAGAGAGCAUUCCGUUUUUCCUCACUCCCCCUUCCCCCAGUUGAGAAGGCAGAUUUACAGCCUUGGUUUGGGGGUGGGGGUGAGCAUAAGGAAGACAGAUCUGCAGUUCUGCCCUCUGAGUGUCUGGGUACUUAGCUUUAACUCCCCCAUUAGCAUCAAUCCCCAUCUUGCUGCCCAUCUGUCUUCUGACAUCAGCUCCUUCCCCUUUCUGUAGCCCAGGCUUUCUGACCCUAAGUGGCUCUUAAAGGGCCAGUCUAGACCCCUCUCUCCCUCCCUUCUCCCACUCCAGGCAGCACAGUCUGAGGGGUGUGUGCGCCUGUGCGCAAGCAUGUGUGCUGUGGCCAUCCUUGCUAAGGCCAUAGUGGAUGAAGAGCAUAGUGUGUGUGCAGGGGCAGCUCUUCCCCAGGUCUCUCUGUUCUCUUUAGACUCCUUUUUCAUUAUGGACCCAUCUUUGUUCAUUACCUACUCAAACCCAGAGCAAGCCCUCUGACUGGGCUGGGAGUCACAGACAAUGGCUCCUGGAACUAAGGGCUGGAGAAGCCAUGUGGAUCUCUGGACAGAUCCCCUCCUUCCCUCAUUUCCUGGAGGCCCAGGGCAAGGGGUAUUAAGAACUACUGGCUGUUUUCAAUUCUCAGCAAGCAGUGGGGGUGGACAGGUUGGGGACUGAGAUUCCGAGAUGCCCUAAGCUCUACAUUCCUAGCCUCCUUUUCCAGGGGCCCAGGCUGUGCUCUGUGUGUGUGGAGCGGGGGUGGGGGUGGGAUUUUAAAUCUUUUUUGCCCUAUGAGAGAGGUGACAUGCCAGAUAAACCUGUCUCUGAAUUUCCUGGCUCCUCUGCCCUAUUCCUUGGCAACUGAGUUUAGGGGGGCAGAGGGGAAACUGGCUUCUCAUUUCUCUCCAUCUUCUGCAGAAAUGCUGUAACUGCACUCCAGGGGCCAUAUGAAUGCCAGGAUGUUCGGAAAGUUCUUCUCCCAUCUGCCUUCAACCCUUUCUGCUGCAAAGAUCUGUAGUCCUGAGGGGCUCUUCAGGAUAGCUAAACCCCUUUCCUGAUAUCUGAAACUCAUUCCCCACCUCCCUCAAUGCUCCCUUCUCUGGCUCAGGAUGAGAGGGAAUUAGUGGACGGGAGGCCUUGGGAAAGUGGCCAUGCUAAAAAUAGGAGCCCCCAGCUGCACACCACCCCCCAUGGCCACUUAUUUAUCACCUUCCAAACCUCAUUCUCAAAGAAGCAUAAAUAUUCCUAA